UGGGGAAUAUUGGACAAUGGGCGCAAGCCUGAUCCAGCAAUGCCGCGUGAGUGAUGAAGGCCUUAGGGUUGUAAAGCUCUUUCGCACGCGACGAUGAUGACGGUAGCGUGAGAAGAAGCCCCGGCUAACUUCGUGCCAGCAGCCGCGGUAAUACGAAGGGGGCUAGCGUUGUUCGGAAUUACUGGGCGUAAAGGGCGCGUAGGCGGCCUGUUUAGUCAGAAGUGAAAGCCCCGGGCUCAACCUGGGAAUAGCUUUUGAUACUGGCAGGCUUGAGUUCCGGAGAGGAUGGUGGAAUUCCCAGUGUAGAGGUGAAAUUCGUAGAUAUUGGGAAGAACACCGGUGGCGAAGGCGGCCAUCUGGACGGACACUGACGCUGAGGCGCGAAAAGCGUGGGGAGCAAACAGGAUUAGAUACCCUGGUAGUCCACGCCGUAAAACGAUGAAUGCUAGACGUCGGGGUGCAUGCACUUCGGUGUCGCCGCUAACGCAUUAAGCAUUCCGCCUGGGGAGUACGGCCGCAAGGUUAAAAACUUAAAAUGAAUUGACGGGGUCAUAGCUGUUUCCU
rnacentral:rRNA from 1 species